rnacentral:misc_RNA from 1 species
GAUGAAGAACGUAGCGAAAUGCGAUACGUAAUGUGAAUUGCAGAUCUCUCAGUGAACCAUCGAAUUUUUGAACGCACAUAGCGCCCGCCGGUCAUUCCGGCGGGUAUGCCUGUCCGAGCGUCAUUUCAACCAUCAAGCGCCUGCGCUUGUGUUGGAGCCCUGCGGCUGCCGCAGGCUCUCAAACCCAGUGGCGGGCUCGUCGUCGUACCGAGUGCAGUAAAUUUACCACGCUCAGGGCACGCGACGGGUGACCGGCCGUAAAACCCCCAUCUUCUCAAGGUUGACCUCGGAUCAGGUAGGAAUACCCGCUGAACUUAAGCAUAUCAAUAAGCGGAGGA